CGUUCUACUUGGGAGUACCACAGGAAUACAACGAAUGGUAAAAAUUUGCGAUUACGAUAUGUAUCCUCACGCAUGAUACCUCGUUGUGCGAUUCGAACCUGCAGCACAUUGGGGUCUUCGUAGCCAGAACACUAACAUCAAGUGGUCUGCUGAAGCGCAACAGAAUUCAAACCAUCAAGAUAAAUUGUUACCACUAGUGGCGUUACUUUGAGCACCGAGCACAAGAUUGGGUUG
rnacentral:lncRNA from 1 species